rnacentral:rRNA from 1 species
GAUGAACGCUGGCGGCGUGCCUAAUACAUGCAAGUCGAGCGAACGGACGAGAAGCUUGCUUCUCUGAUGUUAGCGGCGGACGGGUGAGUAACACGUGGAUAACCUACCUAUAAGACUGGGAUAACUUCGGGAAACCGUAGCUAAUACCGGAUAAUAUUUUGAACCGCAUGGUUCAAAAGUGAAAGACGGUCUUGCUGUCACUUAUAGAUGGAUCCGCGCUGCAUUAGCUAGUUGGUAAGGUAACGGCUUACCAAGGCAACGAUGCAUAGUCGACCUGAGAGGGUGAUCGGCCACACUGGAACUGAGACACGGUCCAGACUCCUAAGGGAGGCAGCAGUAGGGAAUCUUCCGCAAUGGGCGAAAGCCUGACGGAGCAACGCCGCGUGAGUGAUGAAGGUCUUCGGAUCGUAAAACUCUGUUAUUAGGGAAGAACAUAUGUGUAAGUAACUGUGCACAUCUUGACGGUACCUAAUCAGAAAGCCACGGCUAACUACGUG